rnacentral:lncRNA from 10 species
ACAAGGCUGAAGUCUCUGCUGCUCCACAACCUACCUGCCAGUUUGGUCACAGGUAUCUCCCAAGAUACACAAUCACCUGGAGUGGAAGCUUCAGGACAACAGGGCUGGGAACCUGCGUGUUUCAGAUAAGAUACCUCUUGGAUACCUCUUGAUUCACUCUUCUUCCUGCCACUGUGGUGAGGAUCAUUGAGUCUUUGACCAGCUUUAUGCAGGUGCAUGAAUACCCUUUAUGGAGGUUACCAAAUCCAGCAAAGGGUGGAACAAUGGGUGCUCAUGAGAGAUCGGGGGAAGAAAAGCAAAGAACCUGGUGUUGCCUCUUUGGGGUUUUCUGAGUUGGGAGUUUGGAGGCUGAAACCAAGAGGUCAGCUGGGACUGUGGUCUCAUCUGAGGCUUGACUGGGGGAGGAUUCACUGCCAAGCUCUCAUGGUGUUGGCAGCAUGCAGC